rnacentral:rRNA from 1 species
UACGUAGGGUGCAAGCGUUGUCCGGAAUUAUUGGGCGUAAAGAGCUCGUAGGCGGUCUGUCGCGUCUGCUGUGAAAACUCGGGGCUUAACCCCGGGCCUGCAGUGGGUACGGGCAGACUAGAGUGCGGUAGGGGAGACUGGAAUUCCUGGUGUAGCGGUGAAAUGCGUAGAUAUCGCUUGGAACGCCGAAGGCGAAAGCAGGCUGCUGGGCACGUUCUGACGCUGAGACACGAAAGCCAGGGGAGCAAACGGG